rnacentral:rRNA from 1 species
UGCAGUCGAGCGGACAGAUGGGAGCUUGCUCCCUGAUGUUAGCGGCGGACGGGUGAGUAACACGUGGGUAACCUGCCUGUAAGACUGGGAUAACUCCGGGAAACCGGGGCUAAUACCGGAUGGUUGUUUGAACCGCAUGGUUCAAACAUAAAAGGUGGCUUCGGCUACCACUUACAGAUGGACCCGCGGCGCAUUAGCUAGUUGGUGAGGUAACGGCUCACCAAGGCAACGAUGCGUAGCCGACCUGAGAGGGUGAUCGGCCACACUGGGACUGAGACACGGCCCAGACUCCUACGGGAGGCAGCAGUAGGGAAUCUUCCGCAAUGGACGAAAGUCUGACGGAGCAACGCCGCGUGAGUGAUGAAGGUUUUCGGAUCGUAAAGCUCUGUUGUUAGGGAAGAACAAGUACCGUUCGAAUAGGGCGGUACCUUGACGGUACCUAACCAGAAAGCCACGGCUAACUACGUGCCAGCAGCCGCGGUAAUACGUAGGUGGCAAGCGUUGUCCGGAAUUAUUGGGCGUAAAGGGCUCGCAGGCGGUUUCUUAAGUCUGAUGUGAAAGCCCCCGGCUCAACCGGGGAGGGUCAUUGGAAACUGGGGAACUUGAGUGCAGAAGAGGAGAGUGGAAUUCCACGUGUAGCGGUGAAAUGCGUAGAGAUGUGGAGGAACACCAGUGGCGAAGGCGACUCUCUGGUCUGUAACUGACGCUGAGGAGCGAAAGCGUGGGGAGCGAACAGGAUUAGAUACCCUGGUAGUCCACGCCGUAAACGAUGAGUGCUAAGUGUUANGGGGGUUUCCGCCCCUUAGUGCUGCAGCUAACGCAUUAAGCACUCCGCCUGGGGAGUACGGUCGCAAGACUGAAACUCAAAGGAAUUGACGGGGGCCCGCACAAGCGGUGGAGCAUGUGGUUUAAUUCGAAGCAACGCGAAGAACCUUACCAGGUCUUGACAUCCUCUGACAAUCCUAGAGAUAGGACGUCCCCUUCGGGGGCAGAGUGACAGGUGGUGCAUGGUUGUCGUCAGCUCGUGUCGUGAGAUGUUGGGUUAAGUCCCGCAACGAGCGCAACCCUUGAUCUUAGUUGCCAGCAUUCAGUUGGGCACUCUAAGGUGACUGCCGGUGACAAACCGGAGGAAGGUGGGGAUGACGUCAAAUCAUCAUGCCCCUUAUGACCUGGGCUACACACGUGCUACAAUGGACAGAACAAAGGGCAGCGAAACCGCGAGGUUAAGCCAAUCCCACAAAUCUGUUCUCAGUUCGGAUCGCAGUCUGCAACUCGACUGCGUGAAGCNNGAAUCGCUAGUAAUCGNGNNCAGC